UACGAAGGGGGCUAGCGUUGCUCGGAAUCACUGGGCGUAAAGGGUGCGUAGGCGGAUCUUUAAGUCGAGGGGAUGAAAUCCUGGAGCUCAACUCCAGAACUGCCUUUGAUACUGAAGAUCUUGAGUCCGGGAGAGGUGAGUGGAACUGCGAGUGUAGAGGUGAAAUUCGUAGAUAUUCGCAGGAACACCAGUGGCGAAGGCGGCUUACUGGUCCAUAACUGACGCUGAGGUGCGAAAGCGUGGGGAGCAAACAGGG
rnacentral:rRNA from 1 species